AACGAACGCUGGCGGCAGGCUUAACACAUGCAAGUCGAACGCCCCGCAAGGGGAGUGGCAGACGGGUGAGUAACACGUGGGAACGUGCCCUAAGGUUCGGAACAGCUCCGGGAAACUGGAGCUAAUACCGAAUGUGUCCGUAAGGAGAAAGAUUUAUCGCCUUAGGAUCGGCCCGCGUCAGAUUAGCUAGUUGGUGGGGUAAUGGCCUACCAAGGCGACGAUCUGUAGCUGGUCUGAGAGGACGACCAGCCACACUGGGACUGAGACACGGCCCAGACUCCUACGGGAGGCAGCAGUGGGGAAUCUUGGACAAUGGGCGCAAGCCUGGUCCAGCCAUGCCGCGUGGAUGAUGAAGGCCCUAGGGUUGUAAAAUCCUUUCGUUGGGGACGAUAAUGACGGUACCCAAAGAAGAAGCUCCGGCUAACUUCGUGCCAGCAGCCGCCGUAA
rnacentral:rRNA from 1 species